rnacentral:rRNA from 1 species
UACGGAGGGGGCUAGCGUUGUCCGGAUUUAUUGGGUUUAAAGGGUGCGUAGGCGGCUUUGUAAGUCAGUGGUGAAAUAUUUCAGCUUAACUGAGAGGGUGCCAUUGAUACUGUAGAGCUUGAGUACAGGUGAGGUAGGCGGAAUUGACGGUGUAGCGGUGAAAUGCUUAGAUAUCGUCAAGAACACCGAUAGCGAAGGCAGCUUACUAGGCUGUAACUGGCGCUGAGGCUCGAAAGCGUGGGGAGCAAACAGG